AUUGAACGCUGGCGGCAUGCUUUACACAUGCAAGUCGAACGGCAGCGCGGGCUUCGGCCUGGCGGCGAGUGGCGAACGGGUGAGUAAUGCAUCGGAACGUGCCCAGUAGUGGGGGAUAGCCCGGCGAAAGCCAGAUUAAUACCGCAUACGACCUGAGGGUGAAAGCGGGGGACCGAAAGGCCUCGCGCUAUUGGAGCGGCCGAUGUCGGAUUAGCUAGUUGGUGGGGUAAAGGCUUACCAAGGCGACGAUCCGUAGCUGGUCUGAGAGGACGACCAGCCACACUGGGACUGAGACACGGCCCAGACUCCUACGGGAGGCAGCAGUGGGGAAUUUUGGACAAUGGGGGCAACCCUGAUCCAGCCAUGCCGCGUGCGGGAAGAAGGCCUUCGGGUUGUAAACCGCUUUUGUUCGGGAAGAAAUCCUCUGGGCUAAUACCCCGGGGGGAUGACGGUACCGGAAGAAUAAGCACCGGCUAACUACGUG
rnacentral:rRNA from 1 species